UCUACAUUAAGUGAAAAUCGACAUUGUAUAUAAAAGGACGACUGAUGCUUCAUUCAGGCAUAACGCAAAAUUUGUGCAAAUCUAAUUCUCGACUUAACUGUACUCCAAGAAACUAAACCGAAAUACCAAAAAUGGGCGCUGAAAAGGUAAUCAUGAACAUCGUUGUCGUAGGACAAGUCCAAUCUGCCAAGGCCAUGAAAACCGUCGCCAAGGCCACACCAGCCACCAGCCAAUUGAUGAACUGUUGAUUCAUGAAGACAUGAAGUCCACAUCAAUCUCAAACUAAAAAAA